UGUUACUUGGAUAAUACUUCUUUGUUGAUGGAGAUAUUUUCAGAAAAUGUCUCUUAAAUCUUGCAAUACGUAAAGUUAAUCGUAUAAUUGCUUGUGAAUGUGGAAAAUACUUUAAUUUCUCCGGACGUGACUUUUAUGUUAAUACCGAAACUUACGUCUUCCAGUUUUUUUUUUUUUUUUAGGAACUACCUCGUACGUAACUGGUACCAAUUAUAACGUAGUAAAUAAUAUUAAUUAAAUUUAAAAUAAUCGAAAGAUUAAACAAUUAACAAAAGUGUUUAAUAUAUAUAUUAAUUCCCGAAGUGUAUGCUGUUUUAACAAUGAAGGAAAAUGUUAUUUUUUUUUAAAUCGGUAGUUCAUUUCCAAUAGCUGUCCAUUUGCAUUACCAUUUCCUACAGCUUGAAACUACAUUACGUAAUAAUUAAUCUAUAGAUACAGAAAGACGUAAAUGCUACGUUUAAUUAAUCAAAACUUAUCGUGGGACCAGUCAAAAUGUUCUGUGGAAGUUUCAGUGAUUUUUGGUAGACAUUUUUAAAGGAGCUAAUGACAUUCAUCAUGAGCUUUCGUAUCAUCUGCAGUUCACAAAAACAAAAGAAAAACAGUAUUCAGUCAUUGUCUUAAUAUGUUUUUUUUUCCAUAUCAUUUUUAUAGAUACACGUGUUCAGUUUUUAUCUUUUUCAAGGACAGAAGAAAUAAGAGUGACUAUUUAUUUUAGAAAUAAUUCGUAUUAUAAUAUGUUUAUACUUUUGAAUGUAUUUGACGUAGGAUAGAUACAUUUUAUUCUGGGGAAAAAAAAAUUAUCGGGCUGUCACGACGCCAGUCAAGGGAGUCCGAGUGUUAAUUAUCGUGAAAUAACGCAAAAUUCCUUAUAGAUAAUAAAAUAAAAAACUGGCAAUUAACAUAUAUAGAGAUAAUAAAUAAUCUUGCCAGAAAAAUUCAAAGUAGAUUAAAGGUAAACAAUUUCUUUAUUUUGAUUCCAAGAAAUCUAAGAUUUUAAGUUUCUGCAAAUUUUUGGUUAAACUGCGUAUGUUAUUUAUAUUAAAAAUCUGAUAUAAAUCAUCUUCUUUUGUUGCUGAUGCAUUACAAUUGGUAUUAAUCAAUUAAUGUUUAAUUUUAAGAAGGAUGGAAAUUAUAUUUAUGAAAUAUUUAAGCAAAUACAGACAUAAUUAAUUGUUGAUUAAAAUCUACGAACUUUCAUUUGAAAUAACAAUACAAAUAUUGUAUUAAUUGUUUAUAAGAAAAAUAAAAUAUAAGAAUGAGUGUGUGUCAAAUGAGGCUUUCAGAAUUAUUUUAUCAUUUAGCGUAACAUAAAAUACAUAGUUUGUGACGAAUACAUGCAGGUUAUUGCAUGUGGAUAUUUUAAAACAAAAAUGUAUAUGAAAUCGUUUUCCACGUUCGUGCAUCUUUAGAAUAUACAGUAGAAAUGCAUUAAUCAACUUUUAAUUAUAUUUAGAUAGAAUUUUGUUGUAAUUUAUUUGUCAUUUCGUAUUAUUAACCGUUCAUGUUAAUAUAUUUCAUUGUUUUGACACAGCCUAUAAGUAAAGUUGCCGGAUAUCGUCCAUUGUCGCUGUCGUUUCAUGUUGUAUGGUGGUGCACUCUGUUGACUUUAAGUGAAACUCGGCCACGUUGCAAAUCAGUGUGACUGUCUGCUGUUACGAUAGAAGAGGUACAGCUUUUGGAAGGUUAUGUCAGAUUGUAUCACAACACAACGUCUGUAUUACUAUUGUUAAAACCAUAAAUUCUGUGAAACAGGUACUAUGAGAUAGAAAGCUCAAAGGAUACGAACCAGCGGAAAGACGGAACAAUAACCGAAGUGUGCAAACAUUUUUCGUUUUUCGUAGCCAUUGUGUUUCUGCCGUGGGCCGAGAGGUGGCAGCUCCGUUCCGUUUUACCGCACGUGCCAGUCAGAACGUCGGUACACGCGUCCUUGAGUCAUGUUGGAUGUACCUUGUUCUUUGUCGACGAACUUCAAGUAGAUAAAAGUAGAGACGUAGAGUACAAUAGUAGAAUAUUUCUACUGCACUCAGCACACUGCAGCCAAGGAAGAAAGCAGCAGUACCUCCAAAAGCCACUGAAAUGUUGACACAUACGAAUCAGUAUCUUAUGUACAGAGUGUUACAAAAAUUAGGCAAUGGUAGAAAAACGAAAAUGCGAAAGGAAGAAUUGUGUACAGGGAACUGUGGGAGGACCAAAAGUUAUAGGACGUGACGUAUAGCUCUGGAACUACGAAAUUACUCCGUGCGACAAAGCGGUGGACAGUGAUCGGUGGUCUCGCUGUUUUACUGAGUCGUCCCAUGGCAGGAAGACAUCGGGAAGGAGGGAAAAGGUCGAAAAUUCAGCAGCGGCUCGUACAUUGGGCCCGAACUGAAACAUGACGAAAUAGAUCAGUCGCUGAAGGCAGUGGAGUUCCGACGCCCAUGCGAAUUGUCACGCGUCCGCCAU